UUCAGCGCAACGUGGCAUGUGCAGACUUCCUAACAAAAGUAAAAAAAAUUAAAAAUAAAAUACAAUGAAAAUGGAUACAGUUAUUGUUCACAGACACAAAAUAUCGCAAAUGUGAGUAGAUAUAGAGACAUGAUUGAAAUGAUGUGGCAUAUGAACUUUGACUGCGACUGGCUGGGUGGAAGCGCUUUGAACAGAUGUGAACUGUAUUGAAGAAUUCUCCUCUUAACAUAAAGAGCGGUCAUCAUGGAUCCCAGAAGUCACCACUGGACCGAGCCAGGCCCUGGUCGUCACCCCCAGAGACCCAGGGAGAGAGAGGACUACCAUAGGCCUGCUCACCCUCACCAGGGGACUGGAAUCGGGAACUACCCACCAGCACCAAAUGCUGGGGACGCUAUCACUGGGCACUACCCACCACCACCGGACCCCAGGGAGAGGGAGAGGCAGUGGUCACGCCAAGACCCUCGCUACAGGGGCUACCUCACCAGCCCUCCCCCUCCCAGACCACCUCCAGAGUUCUCUCUCAGCUCCUACAGCACCACCCAUUCCAGAACAGCUUACGGCAGACCCCACUCCACGAUGGGUUACAUCAGACCAGAGCCACAACACUCCAGACCCCACUCAAGGCAAGCAUAUGACUACCCACCCCAGAUUUACUGGGACCAUAGUCAGGACUAUGGCUACUAUGACCAGGGCUAUUACAAAGGACAUUACCCAGAUGCAGGUCAAUGGGCUCCCCAGGAACAAUGGAGAUCUGACCCGUAUCAGGAGAGGAGAUAUGAGCAGGACCAGACUGGCAGUGGCUACCCAGAACAACAAAGGUAUGACCAGCGAAGAGCCAGCUCUCAGCAUGACUUCAGAGGCUCUGAUGAAGAUCGUUCUAAAGAGAAUGAGGAGGCUGGUGGAGAUGCCUGCUCUUAUGCCGCUGGGGCUCUGGUCAUCUCCAAGGCCUCAGGCCUGUCCUCCAGUAGCUAUGAGUUGAGCCAGUACAUCAACGGUGCUGAACAGACUGACCCUGCCCCACAACCCACCUGGAGCACAGCAGACACAGAGCAUGCAGCAAUUCCCCAGGCGACUGCCCCUCUGAAAUACACUUUGCCCCAUGCUCUGGUCAGCUUUGGUCCAGCCGGACAGUUGAUCCGGAUUAGUCCUGGUCUGGCCAUGCAGGGAGACCCAGGGAAGGUGGAACUACACAGUCUGGAGAUCAUUCUGGGGGAAACACAGGAGCAGCAGGACAUGAGAGAAUUUCCUGGACCGCUGGCUAGGGAAGACCUGCACAAAGUAGAUGCCAUCUCUUUUGCCCACCAGAUGGCAGAAGCCUGCAUGAAAGAUGAAAAGCUACAAGACAAGGGCUCUGCCGCCCUCCUUUGGAAUCUACUGGUACUGCUGUGCAGACAGAAUGGACGUAUCGUUGGUUCAGACAUAGCAGAGCUGCUGAUGAGGAACUCUCAGGGCCAUGGUGGUUCAGGGGGCAGUGAAUCAGAGGCCCCUACACUCAUAGACCUGAGUGAGGGCCCUAGUCCUGAGACAGACCCCUUGGAUGGAGCAGAUCUGCUGACAGGGACAGCCACUAGUGUCUGUACGCCUGAGUCCACAGAGAAGGACAUGCAGGGAUACACCAAGCUUCUCCUGGCUGGACGGAAGAAGGAGGCCCUGGAGUUGGCCAUGAAGAGGGGACUGUGGGGCCACGCCCUGUUCCUGGCCAGCAAGAUGGACAACAGGUCCUAUACCACUGUGUUGAACAGGUUUACAGGCCAGCUAGCUCCCAGCGACCCCCUACAGACCCUGUUUCAGAUGCUCUCUGGGAGGAUCCCUGCUGUUUCCACGUGUUGUGGAAGUGACAAAUGGAAAGACUGGGAGCCUCACCUGGCCGUCAUGCUGUCCAAUGAGACGGGAGAUCCUAUCACGCACCAGAAGAGCAUUAUUACCAUGGGAGACACGCUUGCCUCCAGAGGGCUGUCACAUGCUGCUCAUAUCUGCUAUCUGACGGCUUACGCUCCUUUUGGCGUCUACACAGCCAAGACAGAGAGACUGGUGCUUCUGGGCAACUGCAACAGUCUCCCAUUCAAAGAGUUUGCUCAGAAUUCUGCCAUUCGGUGCACAGAGUUAUUUGAGUACUGCCAGAGACUUGGAGAUAAAUUCUUCUGUAUCCCCCCUUUCCAGGUGUAUAAGUUCCUGUAUGCGUGUCGUCUGCUGGAUGCGGGGCUGGCGUCCCAGGCCUUCCACUACUGUGAGGUGAUAGGGAUGUCUUUACUCAGACUGCAGGAGCCCAGCAUGGUGCUGCUGGGAGAGCUUAUCAAGCUGGCAGAGCGGCUGAAGCAGUGUGAGGGAAUGGGACAGCUCAGUGACACAGCUGACAACAGGCCUGGACAGGAGCCUGACUGGCUAAAGCAGCUGAGAUACAGACAGCAGGGAAUACAGAUGGGGAGCAAUGGUUGUAGUGAUACAUACCAGUCACCAGCAGAAGGGAGUGCAUUGGCCCAUGAGGAGAGCAGAGUGUAUUCAGAAUCGGACACCGGUGACCUUUCUGUGAGGGGAGAUGACCAGGGACCGGAUGCUGAAUUAUUCUACCACAAAGCAGCAGAAGAGCAACAACAACAGCACGUGCAGGCACAGCAGAUCAACACCCAGCCUCCUCUGCCAGUUAUGGCUUCUAACGCUCAGCCUGCAGUGCCCCUAGUGGUGGGAGGCCACUACAGUUACCACUACACAGACACUGCCCAGCUUCAGCCUCAGACUUCAUCUCAGCAUCCUACACUGGACUGUCCUCCUUUAGAAAAGGAAGGGGGUGAUCCAUCUGCUGGCCCAGGCAUGAUAGGGGUCCAUGUGAAUGCUGGCAUGAUGCCGGUGGCAGAGUAUAGUCAGCAGUAUGGCCAGGAGUAUGGUUAUGGAGGUCAGCAGGCAUGGCAGCAGGGAGGGCACCAGGCAACCAUCACGCAGGAGGGCAAGGCCUCAGAGCCGGACAAAAUCCAACCAAAACAGAGCACCAAGUCAGGGUGGUUUAGCAGCUGGUUCAAACACAAACCCAAAGAGGAGCAAAGUGAGGCGCCUCAGGAUGCCGACUCAGCUGACCCAGUUCCCACUAUGGAGACGCCUCCCACUUCCCUAUUCUCUUUCCCACCCCCGCCCACUACCAACAUCCCUGCAGCCAAUUUUCCUACCCAGCCUGCGUCUACUGGUAUCAACCCCUUUUCUCGAAAAGCGGGUGAAUAACGGUGCGGAAUGCAUUGGACAACACAUAGACUCAAGUUUGUCAGCAGCUGGGCUAGAAGUGGGCUCAUGUCACAGGAUUUGUAAUGCCACAAUCAUGGAAUAACCCUGACAUAUAUAGAUGUCUCAUAUAAAAUAGCACUCAACAGCACUCAGGAAUAACCCUGACCCAGAAGAGAAGCACAACAAAAUCAACCGAAGGACAGCAUACUGACCCCUUAAAUGUCUGAACUGGGAUUGUAUGAAUGUAUGAACACUGUGCAGGACCCCAAUGCCAACCAGGCCACAACCCACAUAUCUAUUCUCGGAUGCCCUUUCAGCCGGACAGUAUUUUGACAUCAUGUGUUGAGUUGGGAGGCUACGCAGGCAGGCAGGGGGAGUGAGUCGGCUUUUAAGGGCUCAGUGUUCACUGAGAGAACUAAACAGCUGAGAUCUGGUUCCCCUGAGCUGACAGAGGGGGGAAAUGGCCAGCAUCGACGCUGCAAAGUAGUGGAAGUAGUAAAGCUGGUCAAGUAAAUCACAAGUAAAGGAUCCAAGAAAAGUCAAGUCCCAAGUUAUAUUUGGAGUAAGUCUCAAGUCUCAUUGGUCAUAUUUUGUAGCUAUAUGCAACAAUGACUCAUGUUUAGAUAUACCUAUCUUUGUCUAAUCAUUGAUUUCAAGUCACAAGUUAAUUUCAAGUCCUAAAGUCCAAGAAAGGUUAUGUAGAAAGGGUCAAAUCUCAAGUCAAGUCCCAAGUUGUGAAUUGUAAGCUCAAAUCAAGGCAAGUCCUAAGGUUUUAUGGACCAAGUCUCAAGUCCUUGGUAAUUCAGUAUCUUCUAGACGUUUGCGUUAACUCAUGUGUAGUCACCAACACAUUCUAUACAUAAAAUAACACUUUUAUGACAAACUCCAAUGCAAGCUUGUAAAUCAUGUUGUGUGAUAAGGCAAGAUAUCAAUUUCUAGCUGUAUAUAUUUUUAUUCAGUAGGACCAUAUUAUCUUAGGUGUCGUCGAUUGCAUGAAUUAUUCUGAUAUCUUGACCUUGAAAGGCCUUUAUGUUGGUUAUUGGCUGAAAGAUUGGUGCACUGUAGUUGCUGCCUAGCUUGCAAAUUAUAAUUCAAAGUUUAAUUAAGUGUUAAUAGCUGAUGAUGCUAACACUGUAUAGUGUAAACAAUGUGAUCAUUGUGAUUAUAUGAUAGUUGCUGGUUGAACAUAGAUCUAUACAGGACCUUCUUUUCAGCAGGUUCUGUAUAGGUGGAUGUUCUUCUCCUCACUAGACGUCAAGAUUGAGACUGAUUUUAAUAGAUCAUCGUCUAUGGUUGUUUCUCAAUUGUAAAAAAAUCUGUCCUCCUUGUCUGCUUUCCUUCACCUGCACUGAUUACUGUAUAUUAUAUUACAUUAUUAGAUAUACCCUAAUGUCUUGUUGUUAAGAUGAAUGCAUUACUGUAAGUCGCUCUGGUCGAGGGCCUGCUAUAUGACAAAGAUUUAAAUGUUCACAGAAAUUUACUUUGUGUACAGAAAAUGCAAUGCGUUAAAAAAAUCCACAACAAAAACAGGGACAUGGAAUAAACAGUUAAAACA